UCCUAUUGUGCCCUAGAGUACGUUUUGAUAUUGCAUUUUAAGGCAUUGCGCUGUUUAAAUAGAAGAUAUAGUCAGUUCUGAAAUGUUUUGUCCCUUCUUGGAGAAAAGGAGCCUUGCCACCGGGAUGCGACAAGCCCAUGGCACAACCUCCUGGAAGGGGUGUAAGCAGACUUGAAGAAGCCCUGACAGAAGUGGCCGAGCCAGCUCAUCUGUUCUGUGCCAGACAAAAACAGGGUAUUUCUCUUAGUGCGACUUACUGGAGUGACAAGCCAGCCGUAAGCCAGGUUUUAUCACACCAUCAUGGAAGGUUUGGCCCAGCAGGGUGUGCAGCCAGCCUGCAAAGUGCUGAGGAGCUCUUGGGCCUCACCACCUUCCUCUGCAGCAAGGCCUGGGUCUUGGGCAUGCCUGUGGCUUGGGUAUGGUGCUACAGCCUCCACAGAGCUGUGGUGCCAAAGGAGAACACACAGGGACUCUACUAGAAGGUAUUUUCCUCAGCAACUACUUUGCUCUGUGGCUGUGACUGGACACGUGAGGCCUGGUAUGCUGACAGGAAAGAGGGCUGAUGCCAGGCCCUGGUGAUAGUUUGGGUAGGUGGGCAUUGCUUUCCCUGCCUGCAAGAGCUACGGCUGGGAGUCAUAGAAUCAUUAAGGUUGGAAAAAAUCUAAGGUUCUAAAAAUCUAGUCCAACUGCCAGCCCAUCCCCGCCAUGCCCACUAACCAUGUCCCUCAGUGCCACAUCCACACGGUUCUUGAGCACCUCCAGGAAUGGUGACUCUAUCACUUCCCUGGGCAGCCUGUGCCAGUGCCUCACUGCUCUUUCUGAGAAGAAGUUUUUCCUAAUAUCCAACCAGGAAGCUCUCCUGUGAACACACGUAAGGAAGUGGCCCAGCUGUCAGAGAUCUUCCGAGGAGAGAGAAGGACAAAUGCUGACCCAAACAGAUGUUAGUAUGGCGUCUUAAACACAGGUACUUGUUUGAGGCAUUCCAACACUAAUGAUGAACACGGUACAAAUAACUAGAUGUGGCAUCAGUGACCAUGAAGCUCACUGAAUGUCCUGUCAUUGAAUUUCUGGCUAAUAAUACUUGAGAGAGUUUGAAGCUCUGUCAGUAAAUUGUACUCUAUAUCACUUUAUUAACCUGGUGCUGGACACCUUCCAGCUGGACGCUUUUCUCGGUGGCCACCACAUGCAGCUGCAGUACCUGGGAGAAGGAGAAGAUAAGGUUGGACCAGAAUUCCUCAGUGGAGCAUUUUUCCAACACACAGAGCCAGUUUGUCCAAAUCAGAAGUGAAUCAGUUUGCAGGACGCCCUGGGAGGGCAGACAGAAGGCAGUGCCAUGCAGAAGGUCCCAAGCAGCUGAUGCUCAGGGCAGCAGGCGCUGCCAGGUCCCUGCCUGACUCCAGCAGAGCACCUGGCUGCCGCUGACAAGGGAGAGGUGUGAAUACAUGGGGUGACAGCUACUGCUGGAGGAAAGUGGGAGCAGAUGCUGCCCUAACUCUCUGGCCUGGGUGCAGGUUGCAGUGAGCCCUGGAAGUGCUCUGAGCAGCGGCUGGCACCAGGUAAGCCAAGAUCCUCCCAUUCUUCCAGCUGAAUGGCACUGAACAAGGAGCCUCAGAGCACAAGCUAUUAGAUAGCAAUUUCCUUGACAAAGCCUCUAUGUUAAUUCAGUACAGACUACUUACAGAAUUUCCCUUCUCUGAGAAAAUUUCAACUUUUACAGAGAAAUGGUGCUCGGUCUUUUUUUUUUUCCUCCUUCCUUUUCAGAACUUCAGAAGUUACCUCAAAAAUUCCCCGAAGCCUUAAUAAUAAAGAUUCUCUGUUGUGUGCCA
rnacentral:lncRNA from 1 species